UUCUUAAAGAAUUUUUAUUUUAAGUAACACCUGCUCAAUGAAUUUUUAAUAGCCGCGGAAAUUUAACCGUGCUAAGGUAGCAUAAUCAUUAGUCCUUUAAUUAGGGACUCGUAUGAAUGGUGAAACAUUUCAUUUACUUUAUUUAUAUAUUUUAUUUAAAUUAAAUUAAGAAUAAAAAUGUUCUUAUAAAAAAAAUAGACGACAAGACCCUAUUGAACUUUACUUUUGUUUAGCUGGGGCAGCUAAAUAAAAAUAAUUUUUUUUUAUUAUAUUUUUAAAUAAAUGAUCCAAUAAAAUUGAUUAAUUGAUUAAGUUACCAUAGGGAUAACAGCGUAAUAUUUUAUUUAAGCUCUUAUUUAAUAAUUUGAUUACGACCUCGAUGUUGAAUUAAUGUAACUUUAUUAAUGUAAAAAUUAUAAAAGUAAGUCUGUUCGACUUUUAAUACAUUACAU
rnacentral:rRNA from 1 species